rnacentral:lncRNA from 1 species
GGAAAAACUGGAUGAAAGGGAGAACAGCAAAUAUUAUAGAUCCCACCUUACAUAAUGGUUUGAGAGAUGAAAUAGUGAGAUGCAUUCACAUUGGACUACUUUGUGUUCAAGAAAAGGCUGUUGAUAGACCCACAAUGGCAUCGGUGGUGCUUAUGCUUGAUAGCCACUCUUUUGCUCUACCAGCUCCAUUGCAACCUGCUUAUUUUAUGAAAAAUAGUCGCUUAACAGCUAUCCAGUUUUCGAGGUGUAGUUCUACGGAAACAGGGUCAAGUGAACAGAAAAGUUACUAUGCUGAUGGAUCAGCUAAUGAGGCUUCAAUUAGUAGUCUAUAUCCUCGUUAAAUAUGAAUCACAUGAUUAUACUCAAAUGUAAUGAUCGUUACUGCAAUUAAAUGUACAAAGCUAUAAAGAUAGACGAUCUUUUCUAGUGCUAAGAAGGUUGAAGAAUUUGUUCAACGGCCAUUCUGUAAAAAAGAUCUACUGUUCUGAUUCUCUUUAAAUACAUUCAUCUAUUUGAUUGAUUAGUGUAUUUAAUUAGGAAAUGCAAGAUUAAAGGCGGGUGGGUAUGGGUGGAGGAGAUGCAUUUCAUUUUGUAGACAAUAAAAAAAGAAGCAAAGAUGGCUGUUUGAAGAACUUAUCCGUAAUUGUUUUUAGUCAAAAGAUAAAAGAAUGUUAGUUUUAACUUAUAAAAAUACUUUAUUUUUUUUCUCCUAAACAUAUUUAGAGAGAAAAUUAUCCACCCAGAUCCAAGAUAAAUAUUUCCACACAAAUCUUACAUUGUUUCUUUUGAAUGACUAGAUGAAGAAAAGGUUUUUUUGACUCUAAACUUUAAAUAAUUGUACUCGUGUCGGCAUAUAGAUCCCACGAAGCAUGCACAAUUGGGCUCUUUUGCUUAUAAAAAUUUUUGAGCGUGUAUAUAUAUAUAUAUAUAUAUAUAUAUAUAUAUAUAUAUAUAUAUAUAUAUAUAUAUAUAUAUAUAUAUAUAUAUAUAUAUUUUCCUGAUGCUACCCAUUCAAAGUAAGGACUUGGUAUUGUUUUACUGAGCGGUAAAUUAAUAAUUUCUUCCUAGAGUGAUACGUAGCUGACAUGGUCUUUCUAUAACACAAGCAGGAACGAAUUCAGGAGUUUCUGAAUUUAAAAAAGGAUACAAAUUAUAAUCACAAUACGUUAAUCAAAAUUUAAAGCAUUUCACCUGGUCUGAACAAGAACAAUUCAAAGCAUUAAGAACACGCAUGGCCCAGUCUCAGUUUUACAGUUUCUUCCGUUCCAAAACAUAUGUGACCUCUUCCUCCAAUUCUAUGAUAAAGUUUCGUUUCAUACAUAUGUGCCAAACAAAUUUUGCUUAUAAAAGUAUCAACAACACAAAUCUUACUCACCAAAUUAAUCUCUGAAAGAACGCAAACACAAUGGCCGUUUUUGUUUCCUCAAGGUUGCAUUCCUAUGUUUGUUGCCUCCUUUUCAUAGUCAU